rnacentral:rRNA from 1 species
CCUUGUACACACCGCCCGUCACGCCAUGGAAGCUGGGGGGACCUGAAGCCGGUGGGCUAACCCGCAAGGGGGGCAGCCGUCAAAGGUCAAUUCAGUGACUGGGGCG